rnacentral:tRNA from 1 species
GUGCCUGUAGCUCAGGGGAUAGAGCAUCAGCUUGCGGAGCUGGGGGUCGCAGGUUCAAAUCCUGCCAGGCACGCCA